rnacentral:rRNA from 1 species
GCAGUGGGGAAUUUUCCGCAAUGGGCGAAAGCCUGACGGAGCAAUACCGCGUGAGGGAGGAAGGCUCUUGGGUUGUAAACCUCUUUUUUCAGGGAAGAACACAAUGACGGUACCUGAGGAAUCAGCAUCGGCUAACUCCGUGCCAGCAGCCGCGGUAAUACGGAGGAUGCAAGCGUUAUCCGGAAUGAUUGGGCGUAAAGCGUCCGCAGGUGGCAAUGUAAGUCUGCUGUUAAAGAGUGAGGCUCAACCUCAUACAAGCAGUGGAAACUACAUAGCUAGAGUGCGUUCGGGGCAGAGGGAAUUCCUGGUGUAGCGGUGAAAUGCGUAGAUAUCAGGAAGAACACCGGCGGCGAAAGC